CGAAACUCCAUUGAGACCUUAAAACAGGACGUGUUCAAAUAUUAAAUGCCGGCAACCAAAUGUCUACAGCAAGGGAACACGAACGGUGUAUGCUUCACCACAUCAAAUAGUGCGGGAAAAAGUUCCUCUUACCCUAAAUACUGUCCACAGAACCACCUCGUUGCAAGUGGGACGAGUCAUAGACCCAUUAUAUCUGAAGUAAUGUUCCGUGUUCUCCGGCAACAAAUCCAUGAGCGGGAACAGAGGGGUUUGGAACUUGAGUCCGUCGUUCUGGAUGAAUUCCAAAGCUACAAGGGAGCAAAGGCAAUCAUUGAGAAGCAAGGGCCCUUCCGAGCAUAUCUUCACGGUGGGUAAGAGUGGACGUCCAACAAUUAAAGUCCAAAAUGGUUCACACCACUUCGUCAAUACUAAUUGCUAAUCGAAACAUCAGAAAAAUCAAGCCAUUUUAGAAACAAGAAGUCUAACUGCUACCCGAUUUGUUCUUCAGCAAAAGUGACCACUAAUACUUUCAUUGAAUAUAAAUUAUGGCUUAUCUUAGCAUCCAAAUUUGGUGGAAGCCAGACCGUCCUCAGCCAACGUUUUUCAAGGGUCAGCAAGUUGUCAAUUGACUUUCGACUGGUUCUGCCAAUAUCCAUAAUGAAGUCGAAGUUUUCGUGUCCAAACAAUAUCUAGCGGGUCUUAACUUCAGUCUAUAGACAAGAAAGACCAUCACACUUUCAAUAAAAAAAGGAUCAAAUUCGAGGAGUGGUCGAACAGGCGGGUCGAAAAAGACAAAAAUCUUCUCCCCGGGGAUAGUGAGUUCAGAGUUCAAAUCCCGGUGCAAGAAGCUUAUAUUGCAAACGAGAUGAUGUGAAAGUGGAAAGUGGCUUUGUUGGACAGGAUGGUUGGCUUAACCCCGGCAUAAUGCUCCCCUAAAAAUGAAAGUAACAUCAUCAUAGAUUGUUUAUAAAUAAACGAGUGACGUAGACUCUACAAGAGAAACUACAAGAGAAAUCCGGCGUUUAACAUAUUCAAGAAAAUCUACCGUUUUCUAGUGUUUAGACUUUCAAGUGGAUUCCAAACUUUUCCACAACAGGCCAUGGGAAUGGAAGGAAAGUUGUUUUCAAAGAGGAAAGUAAUAGAACAAGAAGAAAACAGGGAACACUCGGGCGAAAGGAGAGGAUGAACCCUAUGCUUUCCGUUCCCGUUCUCGAUUCGUUAGGAACAGCAAAAGACGAUCGGAGGGAACGAGCGCAAGCUCACGAA